GCUGCCGCCCGGAGGGAAGCAGACGGGGAGUCGGUGGCGACCGCCGAGUCCGCAUGCGCAGGCUGCAAAGGCCCUUUUGGGCCGGUCCCGCCGCGCUAGGUUGGCGAGUGGGACUAUUUGAUCCUUCCCAGGUUCGCCAGCGUGGUGUUCCGAGAGGAAAGCGCAGCCGCAGCGUACGAAUGGGAAGGCCAAACACGGUCCCGAGGAGUCUGAGGGGAGCUGCAGGGCGCCUGGAAUUGGGGUCUCGAGUGAGCCGGUAAAAACCGCCUUCCGCUGAGCGUCCCGGAACAAAUACUGUCUGAACUGAGCCGUAAGCAAGAAACGGUCAGGAGAAGCUGGGGCGAUCUGAUGAUUAGAACAUUUCAGGGACUACCAGAGAGAAGUGCGUAAUUGCUCUAAGGCAGGUAGGUAAUUGGCCUGGAAACUUGGGAACGCCCCGCCCCGCCACCCCGACUUUCAGCAAACCACCGUGCCCAGGAAAAAGAGCGAUUGUGGAAGACCCUGUGAAGAAGAGACCAGGAAGGCACUGUGGCUUAAGAGAGCAAGGCGUUCCUGAAUGCAGCCAACAUCAACUGGUAAACAAAAAACUGUGAGAACGGAUCCUGAAUCUUGCGCUUACCAGGGGAAAUUCAGGAAAGAUAUGAACCUGAGCAAGAUGAGGUUGAAGUUACUCAAUGCGGCAUUAAGCCUGUUCACGGCCACUUCCUCCGGCGUCACCAACACACACACUGUACACCAGCAGUAUUUUUACACGGGGUAUGUGUGUUAAGUACUAUCAAGUGCAUAAUUAUUACUUCACCUGUAUUUGCUGCCUUGAUACCAUUAGAGAAACUCAUGAAUUAUAAAUAGCAUAGUGAAUUUGUGAUUCCCUGAAGAUAUACUAAGGUGGACUUUUAAAAAGGCUUCUAUUCCAAAGGGAACUAAUAUGGAGGAAAUGGUUUCGAGAAAGAAAAAAGAAAAAACGGAGUCCUUGAUUAGUUGUGGGGAAGGCAACAUAAUGUAAUGUGAAGAAUAAAGGAGUCAGAUCCAGGAAACCCCAUAACUAUUAUCUUUCUGCCAUGUGAGGACACUACCAGAAGGCCCU
rnacentral:lncRNA from 1 species